rnacentral:rRNA from 1 species
CCUACGGGGUGCAGCAGUGGGGAAUAUUGGACAAUGGGCGAAAGCCUGAUCCAGCCAUGCCGCGUGUGUGAAGAAGGCCUUCGGGUUGUAAAGCACUUUCAGUGGGGAAGAAAGCCUUGGGGCUAAUACCCUCGAGGAAGGACAUCACCCACAGAAGAAGCACCGGCUAACUCCGUGCCAGCAGCCGCGGUAAUACGGAGGGUGCGAGCGUUAAUCGGAAUUACUGGGCGUAAAGCGCGCGUAGGCGGUCUGAUAAGCCGGUUGUGAAAGCCCCGGGCUCAACCUGGGAACGGCAUCCGGAACUGACAGGCGAGAGUGCAGGAGAGGAAGGGAGAAUUCCCGGUGUAGCGGUGAAAUGCGUAGAGAUCGGGAGGAAUACCAGUGGCGAAGGCGGCCUUCUGGACUGACACUGACGCUGAGGUGCGAAAGCGUGGGUAGCAAACAGGAUUAGAUACCCUAGUAGUC